UCAGAUUUGGCGGUGGCUCUUGCCACUGACCAUGGUGACGAGUCGAGCCCCCCGAAACGCCUCACAAUGAGGUCCGGGAUGGUCGCUCGCACCGAUGGGAUCGCUAAGCCGCCGUCCUGAA